AAAGAUUUAAGUUAAAAAAACUUCCUGCCUUCAAAGCAGGCAAUAUGCCAACAUAGUCUUUG
rnacentral:tRNA from 1 species